GCGCGACCAAUGACUUGAAGAUCCUAAGAGUACUGCCGCUUGCCUGGCCGUCGUUCUCGGUAUGGCGGUUUUCCUUAGCGAGUCACUUCUAGUUAUACGUUUGCUGGGUGUUAUUUAAUGUUCGUCAACGGGGGUUUGAUAUUUCUCUGUGGACGAUGUCGACGACGAGGGUUGAAGACUGUUUGUGGACAGUGCCGACGAGGUUUGAGGAGACUGCGUUGCAUACGUUGUCGACGAUGGUUUUAGACUGCUUUGUAUGAUUUGUCGACGAGGUUUGAGGAGACUGCUUUGUAUGCAUUGUCGACGAGUGUUUGAGAAACCACUAUAUGGACAACUCCCGAUUCUACAUAGUCCACAAAUCGUCGGUCCAUGUAAAGGUGGGACAGUAAGUGGAAGGCAUGACCCACUGCUGGAAGUCGUCAGUAGUCAGGCAGCAGUCAACUUCACAUUAUCCCUGUACAGUCCAUGGCUGCUACUGACUACUACGUUUGUGGAGUUGGCCCUUCAGUAACUGAUUUUCUCUGGAAGCCUGGCCCCAUUCCAGUGUCAUUCGAAGAACUUAGUUUCUCCUGCCCAGCGAGAUGGUGCACAACCACUUUCUCCUGCCCAGUGAGAUGAUGCACCCAGCAAUAUGAUGCACCACCACCUUCUCCUGCCCAGCGAGAUGGUGCACCACCACUUCUCCUUCCCAGCGAGUUGGUGCACCAUCACAUGUGGAAUGCAAGUUCGUGGGUUCCCAACAGGUGGAUUGGAAGGUAUAAAAUUCGGUAGAGAUGGUGCACCACCACAUUGGGGAAUUCAAGUUCGUUUGUUCCUAACGAGUGGAUUGGAAGGGAUGACAGAAUUCCCUGGCCACCUCGUUCACCAGAUAUCACUCCCCUUGGGUUGUGGAGUUACGUUAAAGACCUCAUUAAAGACUUCUUGUAUCGAACAAAGAUAUGGAACAAGACUGAUCUCGAGCAUCGAUGAGGCUAUGCUACAGCAAACAUUGCAAGAAAUGGCCUAUUGUCUUGAUGGGCUUCACAAGUAAUUGGGCGCAUAUAGAUUUAUUAAAUGAGGCUGAAAAUACAUGUAAUAAUUUUAUAAUAGCUUGUUCAUAUUAUUUCAUCUAAUAAAGUUCAUAUUACC